UAAGGCAUUUGUUGUGAAAUGGUGUUGCGACUCCUUUAAGAGAGCUCAGUGAGUGUGGGUCUGUGUGUGUGGAAAUUGGACAGAAGAGAGAUAGAGAAAGAGGAAGCAGAUGUGUAGAUACUACUGGAGCAGAGUUGGUGGAAUAAGUUUAAGUUUUGUACGCAGUGUGUGCAGCGUCCAAAAUAAACCCCAGACUGAAAGCCAAGUUCAUGUUUGCUCACCAGAAACGGGAUUUUAACCCCAAAGUUAUUCAUCUUACAACAUCAGCCCUGGAGGUAACGUGUCUCCCCUGGUUUUCUGAUCACGGUUGGAAACGAAGCAAGCAGGAAAGGUUAACAUUUUAAAUUAAACAGCUUAUUAACAUGCGCUUGUUGCCCUAUGUGCGCGGAUGUGCUCAUCUGUUGACAUUUCUGAAUGUCUUCCCACAGCUGCUUAAUAAAUGCGGGCUUUCCACACAUACAAACUUGUCAUAAAAAUGCGGGAAAAAAAAUAUUUUUACUGUUUCGGGCUCGGACAUAAAUAUCUUAAUGCCUGUCAGGCUCUGGCCGGGUUCGGUUACUUCUCUUACUGCAGUCGGU